GCGCAGCGCUUCUUCGCUGCUCGUGCUUUCACCUCGCGCGCACGGCUCUCCGUAUGCAUCCUCUUCGCACCUCCCUAUCGUGGCGGUCGGUCGUGCUGUCUUGCCACGCUGUGUGCGUGCACGCAGCAGAGCUGGCUGCGCAGCCUGCCGUCACCUUGUCGUUCUGUGCAUCACCAGACACCCACUUACAGGCGCGUCCGCCGCUGCCGUUGCCUUCGCCCUCUUUCAGCGGUGUCCCGAGACCUCGGCGCUGCAGCAGACGUCUCUGGCACUCGCGCGCUCGUGCGAUGACUUGACGCGCGGCAUCGGCGACAAGGAAGGGGUGGCCGCCUGACCAGCGGUCGUGGAGGCGUCGAUGACGCCUCCCGCCGCCACGACGACUCGAACGGUGCGCACUGCUUCGAAGUUGCGCGGCACCGUGGCUGUGAGUGCGCUGCACGUAUACGGCGCCAUCAUAGCGCUUCGCAUCUACCUGCGGUGGCUCCUCUCUUACCGCAGCUCGAUCAGCCCAGAUAAGAUCUCGCGCUUCUAACGCUCCGCAUGCAUGCUGAUCGGGGCGCCGUGCCCGCUGGCCUCGAGAGACGCCUUCGCGUUGAGCGUGAGCGUCGACGACUUGGGGGCUCGCGACCGCGUCAGCAUUAUCGCGCAUAGCCUUUUCUUUGCUGGCGCUGCCCGUGGGAGGCCUCCUCUGGUUCCCCGACGCUGACAUCCAAAGCAGCGUGAUGUGCGACAUCACCUACACCGCGUUUGAGGUCAAGAUACGCUCUUCGGCGGAGGCGCGACUCUCCUUCACCAUUUCUGCCGACCCCCACGGUGCUGAACAGCCCGCAGAGCGCUCUGAACUGGAUGGCGGGGAGGGUGCGAUGUGGCCGAGGGGCAAAUACGUCGAACGGUGCCGUCAGCGUCCCGAUGCAUACGGGCUGCUGUGGCGGAAGCUCUCCGGCGAGGGGUACGCGGUACUUGCCGCGCCUGCGAACGACUGCGUGUCGGAUCUGCCUCUCUCUCUCUCUCGCCCACUGUCGGCGUGCAUGUGCUUGCGUGUUUGCUGGCGCGACGCGGGCUUGGUAUGACAACCGCGGCUGCUGCCCUCCCCCCCUGCUGCGCAUGAAGGGGGGUACCAUUG
rnacentral:misc_RNA from 1 species